rnacentral:rRNA from 1 species
UACGUAGGGGGCAAGCGUUGUCCGGAUUUAUUGGGCGUAAAGAGCGUGUAGGCGGCCAGAUAGGUCUGUUGUGAAAACUCGAGGCUCAACCUCGAGACGCCGAUGGAAACCAUUUGGCUAGAGUCCGGAAGAGGCGAGUGGAAUUCCCGGUGUAGCGGUGAAAUGCGCAGAUAUCGGGAGGAACACCAAUGGCGAAGGCAGCUCGCUGGGACGUUACUGACGCUGAGACGCGAAAGCGUGGGGAGCAAACAGG